AGAGUUUGAUCAUGGCUCAGAACGAACGUUGGCGGCAUGGAUUAGGCAUGCAAGUCGAGGGAAUCCCAGCAAUGGGGGAACCGGCGUAAGGGGCAGUAAGGCAUGGGUACCUACCCCGGGGUUCGGGAUAGCCUUCAGAGAUGGAGGGUAAUACCGGAUGACCUCGUGAGAGCAAAGAUUUAUCGCCCUGGGAGGGGCCCAUGUGGUAUUAGCUAGUUGGUGAGGUAACGGCUCACCAAGGCGAAGAUGCCUAGCGGGUGUGAGAGCACGACCCGCGCCACUCGCACUGAGACACUGGCGAGACACCUACGGGUGGCUGCAGUCGAGGAUCUUCGGCAAUGGGGGCAACCCUGACCGAGCGAUGCCGCGUGCGCGAUGAAGGCCUUCGGGUUGUAAAGCGCGAAAGAGGGGAGAAAAGCCCGCAAGGGUGUGAUCGAUCCUCAGUAAGCUCGGGCUAAGUUCGUGCCAGCAGCCGCGGUAAGACGAACCGAGCGAACGUUGUUCGGAAUCACUGGGCUUAAAGGGCGCGUAGGCGGGCUGUCAAGUCUGGGGUGAAAUCCCGCGGCUCAACCGUGGAACUGCCUCAGAUACUGACGGCCUCGAGGGAGGUAGGGGCGAGCGGAACGGAUGGUGGAGCGGUGAAAUGCGUUGAUAUCAUCCGGAACUCCGGUGGCGAAGGCGGCUCGCUGGACCUCUUCUG
rnacentral:rRNA from 1 species